UCCGGGAUCGUCUAGCGGCAGGACGUUGGGUUUUGGUCCCAAAAACCGGGGUUCGAAUCCCUGUCCCGGAA
rnacentral:tRNA from 1 species